rnacentral:rRNA from 1 species
AUUGAACGCUGGCGGCAGGCCUAACACAUGCAAGUCGAGCGGAUGAAGGGAGCUUGCUCCUGGAUUCAGCGGCGGACGGGUGAGUAAUGCCUAGGAAUCUGCCUGGUAGUGGGGGAUAACGUCCGGAAACGGGCGCUAAUACCGCAUACGUCCUGAGGGAGAAAGUGGGGGAUCUUCGGACCUCACGCUAUCAGAUGAGCCUAGGUCGGAUUAGCUAGUUGGUGGGGUAAAGGCCUACCAAGGCGACGAUCCGUAACUGGUCUGAGAGGAUGAUCGGUCACACUGGAACUGAGACACGGUCCAGGCUCCUACGGGAGGCAGCAGUGGGGAAUAUUGGACAAUGGGCGAAAGCCUGAUCCAGCCAUGCCGCGUGUGUGAAGAAGGUCUUCGGAUUGUAAAGCACUUUAAGUUGGGAGGAAGGGCAGUAAGUUAAUACCUUGCUGUUUUGACGUUACCAACAGAAUAAGCACCGGCUAACUUCGUG